rnacentral:rRNA from 1 species
GACGAACGCUGGCGGCGUGCUUAACACAUGCAAGUCGAACGGAAAGGCCCUGCUUUUGUGGGGUGCUCGAGUGGCGAACGGGUGAGUAACACGUGAGUAACCUGCCCUUGACUUUGGGAUAACUUCAGGAAACUGGGGCUAAUACCGGUUAGGAGCUCCUGCUGCAUGGUGGGGGUUGGAAAGUUUCGGCGGUUGGGGAUGGACUCGCGGCUUAUCAGCUUGUUGGUGGGGUAGUGGCUUACCAAGGCUUUGACGGGUAGCCGGCCUGAGAGGGUGACCGGCCACAUUGGGACUGAGAUACGGCCCAGACUCCUACGGGAGGCAGCAGUGGGGAAUAUUGCACAAUGGGCGGAAGCCUGAUGCAGCAACGCCGCGUGCGGGAUGACGGCCUUCGGGCUGUAAACCGCUUUCGCCUGUGACGAAGCGUGAGUGGCGGUAAUGGGUAAAGAAGCACCGGCUAACUACGUG